AUUGAACGCUAGCGGGAUGCCUUACACAUGCAAGUCGAACGAGUGGCGGACGGGUGAGUAAUAUAUCGGAACGUGCCCGGUAGCGGGGGAUAACUACUCGAAACAGUGGCUAAUACCGCAUACUAUUGGCUCGGCCGAUAUCGGAUUAGCUAGGUGGUGGGGUAAAGGCUCACCAAGGCAACGAUCCGUAGCUGGUCUGAGAGGACGACCAGCCACACUGGAACUGAGACACGGCCCAGACUCCUACGGGAGGCAGCAGUGGGGAAUUUUGGACAAUGGGCGAAACCCUGAUCCAGCCAUCCCGCGUGUAUGAGAAGGCCUUCGGGUUGUAAAGUACUUUUGGCAGGGAAGCGGUACCUGCAGAAUAAGCACCGGCUAACUACGUGCCAGCCGCCGCGGUAAUAC
rnacentral:rRNA from 1 species